rnacentral:rRNA from 1 species
AGCGAACGCUGGCGGCAGGCCUAACACAUGCAAGUCGAACGAACCUUUCGGGGUUAGUGGCGGACGGGUGUGUAACACGUGGGAACGUGCCUUUAGGCUCGGAAUAACUCAGGUACACUUGUGCUAAUACCGAAUGUCCCCUUCGGGGGAAAGAUUUAUCGCCCUUAGAGCGGCCCGCGUCUGAUUAGCUAGUUGGUUUUGGUAAUGGCUCACCAAGGCUACGAUAAGUAGCUGGUCUGAGAGGAUGAUCAGCCACAUUGGGACUGAGACACGGCCCAAACUCCUACGGGAGGCAGCAGUGGGGAAUCUUGCGAAAUGGGCGAAAGCCUGACGCAGCCAUGCCGCGUGAAUGAUGAAGGUCUUAGGAUUGUAAAAUUCUUUCACCGGGGACGAUACUGACGGUACCCGGAGAAGAAGCCCCGGCUAACUUCGUG